GGGGAUAUGGCGAAAUUGGUAGACGCUGCGGACUUAAAAUCCGUUGACUUUAAAAAUCGUGAGGGUUCAAGUCCCUCUAUCCCCA
rnacentral:tRNA from 239 species